GAUGAACGCUGACAGAAUGCUUAACACAUGCAAGUCAACUUGAACUUCGGUUUGGGUGGCGGACGGGUGAGUAACGCGUACAGAACUUGCCUCACAGAUAGGGACAACAUUUGGAAACGAAUGCUAAUACCUGAUAUUAUGAUUUUCGGGCAUCCUAGGAUUAUGAAAGCUAUAUGCGCUGUGAGAGAGCUUUGCGUCCCCUUAGCUAGUUGGAGAGGUAACGGCUCACCAAGGCGAUGAUGGGUAGCCGGCCUGAGAGGGUGAUCGGCCACAAGGGGACUGAGACACGACCCUUACGCCAACGGGAGGCAGCGGUGGGGAAUAUUGGACAAUGGACCAAGAGUCUGAUCCAGCAAUUCUGUGUGCACGAUGAAGUUUUUCGGAAUGUAAAGUGCUUUCAGUUGGGAUGAAAAAAAUGACGGUACCAACAGAAGAAGUGACGGCUAAAUACGUG
rnacentral:rRNA from 1 species